rnacentral:rRNA from 1 species
ACGGAAGGCAGCAGUGGGGAAUAUUGGGCGAUGGGCGCAAGCCUGACCCAGCAACGCCGCGUGAAGGAAGAAGGCUUUCGGGUUGUAAACUUCUUUUACCAGGGACGAAGGACGUGACGGUACCUGGAGAAAAAGCCACGGCUAACUACGUGCCAGCAGCCGCGGUAAUACGUAGGUGGCAAGCGUUGUCCGGAUUACUGGGUGUAAAGGGAGCGCAGGCGGGAAAGCAAGUCAGUGGUGAAAUGUAGGAGCUUAACUCCUAAACUGCCGUUGAAACUGUUUUUCUUGAGUGGAGUAGAGGCAAGCGGAAUUCCGAGUGUAGCGGUGAAAUGCGUAGAUAUUCGGAGGAACACCAGUGGCGAAGGCGGCUUGCUGGGCUCUAACUGACGCUGAGGCUCGAAAGUGUGGGGAGCAAACAGGAUUAGAUACCCUGGUA